CUUAACUUUUAAACACACUUUGUGAUGUGAUAAGUGGAAACAAUCCUUUUGUGGUUAAAACACAUCAACAAACAGAUAUAGGCCAACAUCUAUGAGUGUCUCCCUGGGACAAAGGGCCUGGCGAGGGCUCUGCUACUUCCGCCGGGCGCUCAGUCCCGCUCUCCAAAGCCUCCCAUCAGUAGUAUGUGCACAGACAGGGACUGGGGCGGGUCGUUUCCAACGUCCUGCAAACCCAGAUUCCCUUUCUUCCUUAAGAGGAAUGGCAAUGGAUUUCAAGCUCCGAAAAACAGCAAGCACUUCCUUCACCUGCUAGCUAGAGUCCUGGUCUAGGCCACUUACCUUGAGCCCCAUGUGAGGCAUAAAAACCAAAAAUGUGAAGACAAAUCUGGUGAAAGUCCUGUAGGACUUGAUGGUUGCCUGAGUGUUUCUUCUUUGGAGAAAGGGGAGCGUUUUCACCUGAUUGAGAUGAAUUGCAUUACAAUACAGGGCACAAGGGCCGCCUGUGGUCUUGCCUGUCCUUACACACAGAAUGGGGGCAUCUGGGUGUCACGCCCUUCCCUCCUUCCCACUGCAGGACAGUAACACAUUCUCUUCUGGAGGAAAGUGGUUGAAAAUCAGGAAUUACCAGCAACUCUCCCCUGGUCUCUCUAGAAAGCUUCCAUUUAUAAGACAGAUGCCGUUUUACUUACUGUCACGGAACCUGAGUUUUCUUGCCUGUGAAAUUAAGAUGGUAAGAAUUACACUAAAUGAUUUCCCAUGGCCCUAAAAAUAUACUCAGAAUUACUCUAUUUCCACCUAGUGGCACAACGGAACAUUUCCCGUAGGUUUUCUUUGACAAAUGUUAGCUUGUCAGCUUCACACCGAACAGUCGCACACAUAGCUUGGGUGUGUAUUGUGUGAUUUUAUUUAAAGACACCUUCCCAGGAACAGCUUGUGUGGAUAAAUGUGCCUUCCACAUAGCUGGUUAUGGGGUGUAAUCAGUCCCUAAGGACAGAAGGCGUGCAGCUGAUAGAGAAACAAAGAGCAGCCCAUUCAGCAAAUCCCUGCAGCUCAUCAUUCAGCAAAUCUUCUCUCAGUACAUGGCUGGAUUAGUCCAAAAGGGGAGAAAAAUUAAAGCGAUCACUAUAAAGCCGUACUUCUCAAAUUUCAGUAUGCAAACCAAUCGCCGGGAUCUUGUUAAAACGUGGGCUGAUUCAGUACAUCCAGAGGAAGGUGCAAGGUCAGCAUUUCUGACAGCCUCCCAGGGCUGCCAGUGGUGCCGCUUGGGUCCGGGUGUUGAGGGCAAGGCUGUGAAAUGCGCACAGGGCCCUGCUCCACCCGCUGGCUCCACUUGAGUGAUCAGUACUUCCUGGUUCUACUCCAACGUGAUGCAUAUAGAAAAGACAGGAAACUGGACAAACGCACUCCAAACACUAUCUGACCCAACCUGUGGACUUUUAAAACAUCAGCCUUAGGUUUUGGAUCCUGACUCGUUCUGGCUUGUCUUGCUCUAGACAUGCUUACUAUCCAGCUUGAAAACGGAUCUUCUCUAAGAAAUUCCCGCUUGGAAUCAGUUCCAAAAGAAAACCCUAGUAAGUAGCUAGAGCCCAGAUCUGCGUCUGGAGGGUUGUCUGCAGCAGCAGAAACCCCCGGGGGAGACAAGGGCGGGGCCACAGAGCUGAAGGCACCCCUGACGGUUCACUUCGAAAUCCGCCAAGUUGCGCAGCCACAAGGACUUGGCAGUCGCCACCAGCCAUCGAUGGAAGCUUGCUUUGAGUCGUUUGGGGUAAUAAAAUGAUUUCUCAUGGAA